UGCUGCCUACGGGGCGCAGCAGUGGGGAAUAUUGCACAAUAGGGGAAACCCUGAUGCAGCAACGCCGCGUGAGUGAAGAAGUCAUUCGUGAUGUAAAGCUCUAUCAGCAGGGAAGAAAAUGACGGUACCUGACUAAGAAGCCCCGGCUAACUACGUGCCAGCAGCCGCGGUAAUACGUAGGGGGCAAGCGUUAUCCGGAUUUACUGGGUGUAAAGGGAGCGUAGACGGCAUGGCAAGUCAGAUGUGAAAGCCCGGGGCUCAACCCCGGGACUGCAUUUGAAACUGUCAGGCUGGAGUGCAGGAGG
rnacentral:rRNA from 1 species